rnacentral:rRNA from 1 species
UCUGUAAAGUUCCUUCGACGAGUCGAGUAGUUUGGGAAUGCUGCUCUAAAUGGGAGGUAUAUGUCUUCUAAAGCUAAAUACCGGCCAGAGACCGAUAGCGCACAAGUAGAGUGAUCGAAAGAUGAAAAGCACUUUGAAAAGAGAGUUAAAAAGUACGUGAAAUUGUUGAAAGGGAAGCGUUUAUGACCAGACUUGGGCUUGGUUGAUCAUCUGGGGUUCUCCCCAGUGCACUCUUCCAGUCCAGGCCAGCAUCAGUUUUCGCCGGGGGAUAAAGACUUCGGGAAUGUGGCUCUCUUCGGGGAGUGUUAUAGCCCGUUGUGUAAUACCCUGGCGGGGACUGAGGUUCGCGCAUCUGCAAGGAUGCUGGCGUAAUGGUCAUCAACGACCCGUCUUGAAACACGGACCAAGGAGUCGUCUUCGUAUGCGAGUGUUCGGGUGUCAAACCCCUACGCGUAAUGAAAGUGAACGCAGGUGAGAGCUUCGGCGCAUCAUCGACCGAUCCUGAUGUUCUCGGAUGGAUUUGAGUAAGAGCAUACGGGGCCGGACCCGAAAGAAGGUGAACUAUGCCUGUAUAGGGUGAAGCCAGAGGAAACUCUGGUGGAGGCUCGCAGCGGUUCUGACGUGCAAAU